rnacentral:rRNA from 1 species
UACGUAGGGCGCAAGCGUUAUCCGGAAUUAUUGGGCGUAAAGAGCUCGUAGGCGGUUUGUCGCGUCUGCCGUGAAGUCCGGGCUCAACUCCGGAUCUGCGGUGGGUACGGGCAGACUAGAGUGAUGUAGGGAGACGUGGAAUUCCUGGUGUAGCGGUGAAAGUGCGCCAGAGUAUCGAGGAGGAACACCGAUGGCGAAGGCAGGUCUCUGGGCAUUAACUGACGCUGGAGGAGCGAAAGCGUGGGGAGCGAACAGG